rnacentral:rRNA from 1 species
GAGCCCAGCCGGUCGAUCCGAGGCCUCUGGGCAGGAACAACGUGUGCUCCAGCGAGAUGUGCUACCCUUGCCGGCAACCGCACGCCUCGAGAAAGCCAAGGCUCGAUCCCGAGGAACCAGCCAGCAGCGAGCCCUGCCGCCUCAACAGGAGCACGCUGCCCUGCCCGCCUCCCUCACCCUGCGCCCCUUCUCCUUCUCCUUUCUUCUUCUCUUUGCUCUCUCCCUCACGCCCUAUCUCUCUCUUUCUCUGGAUGAGCAGGGCACCAGCCGCCGCCAUCGUAGCAAGCUGUCGCACCAGACGCAAGAUCCCUCGACGCCACGCCUGAAUCCAUCAGUCUUCCUCGCGCCGCCGCCGCCCUCUUACCGCCCAUCGGCCCAUUUCGGCGAACUCCAGCGCCGCCUGUCCGUUUCGACGGAGUUGGCCGGAUGAUGAAGAGCGGUGCAGCAAAGGAGGAGGAGAGAGAGGAGUUGGGGGAAGGUGUGGCGUCGGCGUCGAGUGUCCCCGGUGGUGGCGGUGCACGGCGGAGGGGCAGUGGCCGACGAGGGCGGCGCCUGGCGGAGGGGCGGUGGCCGGCGGGGGCGGCGCACGGCGGAGGGGCGGUGUCAGGCAGGGGCGGCGCGCGACGGAGGGGCGGGGGCCAGCGGCGGGCGGCAGCGUGGAAGGGGGUGGAGGCGCGCUAGAGGUGGAGAUGCGUGAGAUAAGGUCGUCGUGCAU